CCUAGCCCGUCCCAUCCUGCGGCUGCGGGAAGGCCUGGGGGUGGCAGAGUGAGAAGCCUGGUCUUUCCAGCCGCACUGCCCUCCGGGUCCACCCUUGUGUGGGCCUGGCCGCUGUGCACUCCCCUGCCUGUCCCGGCACCUGCCCCUCCCCCUUCCUGACCCUGCGUGUCUGUCCUGGGACCCCAUCCUCUCCCAUCCUCCCGAAUAGGAAGUCCCCAGUCGUCAGCCCCCCCAUGGGAAUCCAAAGCUGAGUGACCUGUUGGGCUCUGCUGUGGGCUCAUGGGGCUCCCGCUCGGGGCCUGGCUCUGAGGCUGAGGCCACUGCUGGGACAUCCUCCAGCUCUGCAGGAGCUGAAGCAGGUGACACCAGCCGUCUUGCCAGCACAGGGGUCUCAGGGAGCUCCUGGAUGGGCUCUAGCCGUGAAGCCGGCCCUCCCCGUGUCUCUGGAGCCAGCUGCCUCUGCCGUGGGUCUGGAGCGGGACACAGAGAAAGGGUCACCGUGGGCCUGAUUCCCCGCGCCUUACAAUGACAGAAGAGCCCUCAGUGCCUUGAAGGGAACCCCAGUCCGGGAAGCCCACCCUAGACGGUCCCCUGGCUGCAGCCCCUCACCUUCCAGCACCGCCACCGUGGGCCCCAGGUGCUCCUCCUGGACCAAGUGUUGGAGGACUUGGCCCACCAGGGUGGAUGAAGGCUGGCUGCCGUGGAGGUCGCUGGGCACACUCUCAGGCUCCCAGGCAAGGCGCCUAGCCCGUCCCAUCCUGCGGCUGGGGUAAGGCCUGGGGGUGGCAGAGUGAGAAGCCUGGUCUUUCCAGCCACACUGCCCUCCGGGUCCACCCUUGUGUGGGCCUGGCCGCUGUGCACUCCCCUGCCUGUCCAGGCACCUGCCCCUCCCCCUUCCUGACCCUGCGUGUCUGUCCUGGGACCCCAUCCUCUCCCAUCCUCCCGAAUAGGAAGUCCCCAGUCGUCAGCCCACCCAUGGGAACCCAAAGAUGAGUGACCUGCUGGGCUCUGCUGUGCUCCCCCAACCCCAAGCCCCAAACUCCUCCUCCCCCCAUUCUGUGAGAUGGGCAGCACCUCCUCUGGACCCAGUGAACGCUCACAUUUUCAAUUCCCCCUCUGGCCCCUCGUCAUGCCCCCUGUUGCUUGAGGAGGCCGUGACGGCAUCAGUCGUGACACUCCCUGGCCGUGACCUGCGGAUGAUGCCUGAAGUGACUGCCCGAGUCCACCCGGGAUGGGGUCCCAGUAUUGUGUCUGCUUCCUUCACUCAGUUGUGCUAAGUGUCCCCAAAGGGUCUGCACAAAGUGGGCACUGCGUACCUAUUGUUGCUUAAGGAAGUCCUACCAGAACUUCUCCAGGUACCCCUCUCCUGCCCCCAGAGGUCCCUCAUGUGGCGACAGUGAGGACAAGGACCCGGCCCAAACACAGGGAAUCGCGAGCCUCCGUUCCAAAGGCUGCUUCCCAUGUGCUUUUCCAAAUGAGCCAGGCUCCAGGCCACUGACGGGUGAGGCCAAAGGCUUUCAUCGGGUACAGAGAAGUAAGCCCCGAAGUGGCCCAGCUUGGCCGGCAGUCCUUUACCAUGCCGGGCACCAGGGGAACCCCUCUAAGGCUCCUCCCAUGUUCCCCAUGGGCACCCUAACAGGCUGAUCGCCAGCCUCCCUGCCUGUCAGAGGAGCACGCUGAGGCUCAGACACGUGGGGACACGCAAGACACACCGCGGGCUGUGGGCAGAGGCCCGACUGGCCAAGGAGGGGUUGGGUGCUCACCGGGGGAGCCGCUGGCCCGUGGUCAGCUGGUCAGCAUCAUCGGGUGGGAGUGUGGCCUCGGGAGCGCUCCGGCUGGUGUUUGGAGCUGGUUCCACUCGUGCCUUUCGCUUUCUCCACUUCCUCCUCACACCUAUCCAGGGAUCCCUGCACUUGCGGACCUCAGUCCCAUGGACAGAUGGCUCAGGUUCAGGCUAAGGGGGGAAACAGGGAUAUAGUCAGUGGGAAACCCAGGAAUCACCAGGACGAGGCAGGUUUGCAGCUCACCCGAGAGCCCCCAGCCCCCUGGGGUGCGAGCAAGGAGAGGCACGGGGUGCCCCCGGGAACAAGGUUCCAGGCCCUCUGGAGUGGUCCUGUCAGCCACUCUCGUGGGGAAGCCCUGGGAGGGAAGGGAUCCUGGGUGUAGACAGCCUGCCCCAGGUCCAGGGAGAUGGAGUAGGUGAAUCCAUCCACCAGCUCCUCCACGCUCCCCAGGGUGGGGCUCUGCAAAGCCGGCACCUGGUAGCUGGGGAGGAGGCACCCAUGGUUGCGUGGACCUCCCCACAGGGGGCAAUGUGGGCCCCCAACUCUGCCCCCGAGAUCAGGCCCACAGGGCCAUCUGCAUAGACAUCCAGUCCCUCAGGGAAGAGGAGGACACCCCUGGGCUCAGGAUUAACAUGUGGGUGGAAGUACCUGGUCCCAACACUCACCUCCAUGUCCUGAAUCAUGAGACCAGAGCUGUGACACUGACUGCCCCCUGCUCCCCAGCCUUCAGUCCCACCCAUGCCCCAUGCCCACCGCACACACACAAGGGGCCUGGGGAAACGUCAGCCAGGAUGGGUCACACUCGUGGCCUGGCCCUGGAAUGGCCCGCUCUGGGCUGCCCUGUGUUACCUCGGGGCUCCUCGGGAUACACGGAUAGAGGCGUUGGAGGAGGUCACUGAGCCAACGCCCACAGCGAGCAGGAAGACUCUCCCUCUCGGCUUCCCUGACUCCCUCGCUUUCAGAAGGCUCCGCACAACAAGACCGCAUGUUGCUCUGUCGAGCGCCUCCGGUCAAGUGAGCUGGACUGGGUUCUGCGACCAGGAGCUGGGUUCCAUCCGUCCGGGUCACAAUUGAGUUCCCUGUCCUGCUGAGGCCACAGCACCUCCCAGGACCUGCCCAACAUCCCAACCUGCACAGGGAGGGUCACGCCAGACAUUUCUCCCUAAGGACAUCCCCAGGGAUACAUGGAUGACACCUCCAGCUCCUGGGGACUGGCGUCACAUGUGUCUGACACACAGACUCAGAGAUGGAAGAAUGCCAACCAGGCUUGGCAUGGAGCAUGGAACACCACGCAGGUCAGGCCGGGGUCCAGGCCGUGUGAUCUUGGGCAAGUCAGUCCCCUUCUAGGCCGUUUUCAGGUGUGCACCUUGAAGGGGCAGCAAUGAGAGGAGAUCCAGGUGUUGCCAUCUACUGCCUUCCACCUUCCACAGGUCCAGGCUGCUCUCAAAUCUGAAAUCCGCACCAGGCGUGUGUGUGUGUUUGGGGUGGUGGUGCAGAUACAGCAUCUUAUUCUUCACCUUAGAAGGGAUAGCUUGGCAUGCCCACAAGAUAGAUUUCUAGUAACUUCUCUAAGAUGAAAGGUCCCUCAAUUUUUGUUGGAUUUAGUCCACCUUCUGACAUGUGACUGCGCUGUCAAUAUGCCUAGAUGAGCUGUACUUCCUGAUCACUGGGUCCAGUCAGCCUAGUACCAUCAAUGGGAUGGGCCAGUGUGACGGCUUCUGGAAGAAAAAGGAGAUGAAGCUUCCUUCUGUCUAAAUGACAACCCAAGUCUGGAGGUCUGAUAUGCCUCUGAGAUAGUUUUCUCUCCUUGCCGGCUGAAAGCUAACUGCCCUGCUGGUCUUUACUCACAGGAAGAGAACAAAGAGCAUUUUCCUGACCAAUACUUACACACUGGGUGCUUGGGGACCAAGUGAUGAAGCCCCAUGUGCAGCAGGAACUGCAGUUUGAGACACUCUGAUUACACUGACAAUCAUUCACUGUCAUCUCCAAGAUUCGUCUGUUUUCUAAGUAGGCUAAAUGAGUGACUUCAAUAAGGUUCCCGGGGACUGGAUGCUUGGGGUUGAACAAAAUCAGCUUUCAGCUUUAACUCUGACCCUCAGACUAGGAAAAUCUGAAGAACAAGAAGAAACUGCCACCCCAUCCACCUCUGCCCAUUAGUGGACAAAGUUUCUGGGGCUGUUUGAGUUCACUUUCUAGUAAAUGUUAGUGUUCAGUUUUGAACAAAGAUUUGAUUCCCCUUUUCUUCUAUUACAAAUUCAUUUCUUACUGUUACAUUCCUUAACAGCAGCCCAAAAACUGAUCAUGAAAUGCCUUGAGGGAGAGUUUCUGACUAUUACCUGAAGAUAGGCACAAGUUGAAAAACACAGCUCUAAGCGUUUCUUGGAAUAUCAGUGCUGGCUGAUAAGACAGGAACUGCCAUCUGCGGUUCAGAUUUCCAGUGGACUUGGCUUAUGUGUUCAAAUUCUGCAAAUGUUGCUGUUAGAAUCAGCAAGGGGCUGUCUCCUUGCAAGUGCUUGGAGCUGACAGCCUUGCAUUUAAUACUCGCAUGCAGAAUUUUCUCAAGAGCCCCUCCCCCACUUCUAGCACAUGAAGAAGUUGGGGAAAUGAGAAGAGGGGGCCCACAGAUGCCUUUAUGUCCAGACCCACUGCCCCACUCCCUCCACAGAGGCCUCAGGAGCCAAGGGGGCAGUGCUUGCAAGCCUAGGGCCUCCACUUUGCCUUCCAGGCUGCUCCCCCUGCUGCUGCUGCUGCUGCUGCUGCUGUUGCUAAGCUUGUUAGCACUUUCAGAAACUUAGGAGAGAAACACAAGCGCAACUUGGGCCUCACUGAGGUUUCGGUUCAGUGAACAGGUGAGCCUACAGCUCCCAGGAGUCAGCCUGACCUGGCCCUGCCCCUGCCAGUCCUUCAGUUCUAUCUGUGCUGUGAGUACCAGCGCUGGCCCUUCCUGCUGGGAACCUGUUAGCCGAUGCCGUUGCUGAGUGCCUCCUGCCUUGUGCAGCCGGCCGGGUAUGCAGCUGCCCCCAUGCUGCCCCCUCUCCACACAAUACCCUGGGACUCUGAUACUACGUUCAUGUCUUCUCUCAUUCAAGUUUUUAAUUUUAGCCAUUCUCAUGUGCAUUGUCUAUGUUUUCCACCUACAUUUCACUUCCAUGUCCCUCAUGAGUCAUUAAGAAAAAAAAAAGUCGAGCCACACAUGGACUUGGAGCAAAUUCUUGCAAGUCAUACCUCAACAAAGGACUUGUAUUUACAGUAUAUAAAGACCUGCUACAGCCCAAUGGCAAGAAGACAAGUAACCGUUCCUUGUUCCCCUGGAAACAGGAGGAAAGGCAAGUGAGGUGUCCCAGGAGUCCCGCCAGUUAGGUGAGGGAGAUGGCCCCCAUCACCAGCCAUUGUCAAACUUGACCUCCAUUGCUGCCCAGCCCUGGCCAUCCUUCCCUGGACUCCCAAAGUGUCCCCAGCCCUGACCCCACAUCCUGUCCCCAGCCUGCAGCACAAAAGGGUGGCGUCCUACUCUGAUGUAAACCUUUGUGUGGCCUUACCACUCUCAGACUAAGGGCCAAAGCUGCCUCCCCCUGGAAAACCGUGUGGUUUAACCCAGCCACUCUCCUCUUGGCCACAACAGAGGAGACUCCAGGAGCUCAGCCCUCUUAGGUUCUGGGUGGGCCUUCUUCACCGGUGUCCCAGUGCCCAGGACAGUGUCUACAAUGUGGUGGGUUUUGAUAAACUUGAUAUGUCAAAACCAUUAGCUCUCCUGCCUAAACCAGGAUGGGGCACUGGGGGAAGUUCAAGAGACUCUGUCAAGUUCCACAUAAUGGACGGCUACCCCUCAGCUUGGCAACCUGCUAUAUAGCCCUAUACCGUCCCUUAGCUGGAAGGGCCUGGGUCUCUGACACCAGUUCCCCGAAGGGAUUACUUACGAAAGUGACUCCAGGGGGCUGUUGCCUGGGGAAGAUGCUCAAGGUGGCGCUGUGAUGUGGUGAGGACCAGGGCGGGUGAGCCCACUGCCUCCAUGUGCUGACCGACAGCCUGAGCCCAAAGGCCCCAUCCUUCCCGGGCCUCUGCAUGGGAAGAUUCCUGGGGAACAGCCACACACAACUUCCUAGAGCUGAACCUGGCCAGCUGAGCCUAGAGGGCAGUCACUUUUCACCAGUGCUGAGCACACACGGACAGGUGGAGGCAGAGCGUCUGGCCAUCCACGUCCCUGUACACUCUGGAUUCUCUUCCCAGGCCCAGCACCCUCCUGGCGACCCAGGUGUGCCUGCUUCCGGGAGCGCCUUCCUUAUACACUGGAGGGCGGGACCAGGCCAGGUGGGGUGGGGCUCCAUUCCCCAGAGUUUCUGUGUUGGGAAGGGGACAGAGGUCGGGCCAGGGCCUCCCGUCCUCCUGUGGCCAGUGGGUGGGAACCCGCUUUCCGACGAACAGCUGUUCCGAUCCGUGUAUGGCUUGUUAGAGGUAAAACUUAUUUUUUCUAGGUAUUGGAAGAGCCUUUUGCCAUAUAUAUUAUAUACAUACAUCCUCCGUCGGACCUGGAGAUGGGGCUGAGGGAAGCGGGCAGUGAAUGGGAUUUUUUUUUUUCCUGUCAGAAAACGUGACAGGACAUGCUUAAAUAUAGCAUUACCUGGCAAAAAAAUAUCAUCCUUCCGUCCGGAUUCUACCUUUUUCAGUGAAUGGAUGUCAGCCAGAGGGGAGGAAGGGUCUCCGGUUUCGGGUUCCCGCCCAGCGCCUGCAGGCAUCCUCCCCUCCGCGCACAGCCUCAAGGGCCCCCCUGGGCUUCCCGACACUAAAGCGGCCUCGUCCCGUGGGGGCAUCAGGCUUAGACCCUCUGUGCCUGCUGCUUUCAAGUCAAGGCGGAAGACUUGGGUGUGGAGUUCACGUGGCCACUAGGAGUUCGUGGCUACUCGGAAAGCGCGUGUCUCCGCAGCCCAGGAUCACCCCCGACAAAAGCCGAUUGUGCCAAGGCAUUCCUCAAAUGAAAAGGGAAAUUAAUGAUUCCUUCUGUUAGAAUCCCUUUCCAUCCUAAAAACGGCAUUUUUGCAUACUUAUUCGUACAUUUCCUUAAUAGCCCUCGCAUAGAGAUGUGUACAGGUGCGAGGAGAGCAGUGAUUGUCCAAACCCUUAAAGAGCCCAACAGUGGCUCCUGCACUCAGACUCUUAGUAAUCACUCCUGGCUGGUGCUGGGGUGACUGUGACAGUGGUGACAGCGUUCACACGAAUAGCAUGUUCAACAGCAUGGGUCCUCUGAGACCUCUGGCAAUUUUAUGUAUCACCUCACUUUGCCACUCGCCACAUUUUGCCUUGUGUUGUAGUUAUUUCUAAACAAAUGCUUGAGUAGGAGGAUUGUGUUUACUUAUUUCCAUUUACUCCAUGAGGGAGAGCACUAGGUUCAUGUAUAUUAAUUAGUAAGUGCUUUAGGGUAUGUAUGUAAUUGAAAAUCUGUACACCUGAAACUCAUGUAUCAACUAUAUCUCGAUUUUAAAACAAGAAAGAAAUUGGUGGUAAUGGUUGUUCAGUAACUGCUUUUCUUAGAACCAUAUAGAAGUGCUUGGCCGUGGCCAAGAAUGUUUGACCACCUUGGUGCAAACUGCCUAGCUUAUUGCAGUAAUUUCCUAACUGGUUCCACCAAGUCUUUUCUUGCCACUCUUGAACAGAAUUUCUU